UACGUAGGGUGCGAGCGUUGUCCGGAAUUAUUGGGCGUAAAGGGCUCGUAGGCGGUCUGUUACGUCGGGAGUGAAAACUCGGGGCUCAACCCCGAGCCUGCUUCCGAUACGGGCAGACUAGAGGUAUGCAGGGGAGAAUGGAAUUCCUGGUGUAGCGGUGAAAUGCGCAGAUAUCAGGAGGAACACCGGUGGCGAAGGCGGUUCUCUGGGCAUUACCUGACGCUGAGGAGCGAAAGCGUGGGGAGCAAACAGG
rnacentral:rRNA from 1 species